rnacentral:rRNA from 2 species
CUUGAUGGGGUAAGGCUCCCAGUAGACGACUGGGUUGAUAGGCCGGAUAUGGAAGCCAGGUGACUGGUGGAGUUGACCGGUACUAAUAGGCCGAGGGCUUGUCCUC